rnacentral:misc_RNA from 1 species
GAUGAAGAACGCAGCGAAAUGCGAUAAGUAAUGUGAAUUGCAGAAUUCAGUGAAUCAUGGAAUCUUUGAACGCACAUUGCGCCCUCUGGUAUUCCGGAGGGCAUGCCUGUUCGAGCGUCAUUUCACCACUCAAGCCUGGCUUGGUAUUGGGCGCCGCGGUGUUCCGCGCGCCUCAAAGUCUCCGGCUGAGCUGUCCGUCUCCAAGCGUUGUGAUUUCAUUAAUCGCUUCGGAGUGCGGGCGGCCGCGGCCGUUAAAUCUUUCACAAGGUUGACCUCGGAUCAGGUAGGGAUACCCGCUGAACUUAAGCAUAUCAAUAAGCGGAGGA